rnacentral:rRNA from 1 species
AUUGAACGCUGGCGGAAUGCUUUACACAUGCAAGUCGAGCGGCAGCGCGGGGCAACCUGGCGGCGAGCGGCGAACGGGUGAGUAAUGCAUCGGAACAUGUCCAUGUCGUGGGGGAUAGCCCGGCGAAAGCCGGAUUAAUACCGCAUACGCCCGAGAGGGGAAAGCAGGGGACCGCAAGGCCUUGCGCGAUUGGGUUGGCCGAUGUCCGAUUAGCUUGUUGGUGAGGUAAAGGCUUACCAAGGCGAUGAUCGGUAGCUGGUCUGAGAGGAUGAUCAGCCACACUGGGACUGAGACACGGCCCAGACUCCUACGGGAGGCAGCAGUGGGGAAUUUUGGACCAAUGGGGGCAACCCUGAUCCAGCCAUUCCGCGUGAGUGAAGAAGGCCUUCGGGUUGUAAAGG